rnacentral:RNase_P_RNA from 1 species
AAAUUCUGGCAAUCGCUCCAGUUCUGACUGGAGAGGAAAGUCCAUGCUCGCACGGACCUGAGAUGGCCGUAGUGAUCGCGCUUAGCGAAACAAUAAGCUAAGGCAGUUGCAUAAGCAGCUGACGGCGGGUAGAACGCCUAAGUCCUUGAGAUACGGCCGACAUACCCUGAAAGUGCCACAGUGACGGAGCUGCAUAAGAAAUUAUGCAGGUGGAACGAGGUAAACCCCGCGAGUGAGAAACCCAAACUAUGGUAGGGGCACUUUUCCGAAGGAAUUGAACAGAGGAAAAGGCAGGUGCACAUCUGCAGAUAGAUGAUUGCCUUCCACCAGUACGAGGUGAAAACCAUUUGAGUACGUGGAAAACAAAACAUGGCUUAUAGAA